AAGACCAGCCACAUGUCAAGUAUGUCCUACAAAAAGAUACCAUGAACUAAGCAGCUUUGUUCUACCAUGCACUGUCUGCCUUGAUGUUAUUGCCUUGGAGCUAGCUGACCAUGGACUGAAUCCUCUGAAGAUGGGAAACUCAAUGUUGAAUUCCUUUACUCUCUUGGACUGUAUUCUUAAGCACUGGAAAAUGUUCAACUUGUAUUUUGAGGAGGAGCUGUUUAAUAUUUUUCUGCAUCCAUGCAUGGCCUGCCUAUUCCCUGGAGGUGAAGUGCAAUGCAGAGAGAAGUGUUGAUUAUAAAGCUAUUUUACAACUGGAGCUAUACUGUAAGAGAGAGAAAAUGGUCAAAGAGUUCAACAGCUGAGGUUUGAAGACCAGAGCUAGAAAGACAACUGGGCUAAAAGGACUGAAUAUUUUGUCCCUGCACCUCUAAGACCAACAAGGACCCAGGACAUAGGUGGCUUUUUCUAGAGGAUCCUACAAUUUUGUAAGGUGGUGGUGGAAGUUAACAGAUACAAAGCAAGCACCCAACCCACGAUGUACAACACAAGUCACCAGGAGAGCUACAUAAAACCAUGUAGCACAGAGCAUACUGUGGCACACAGAAGUUAGUUCUGUUAGGUUCAAGGGAAGGCUCAGUUUGUGCUUGUUUUGCUUGUCUCUUAUUCUGUUAUGAACAUACCAGUGAUGAUUCAUUAGCCUGUGACAUACCAACUUCACAGGAAGACCAAGCUGCAGCAGCUACUCUAGAAAAAUGAGCUGUGAAGGGAGACUGAAACAUUUAAGAGAUUUCAGUCCAUGGAUACUUGGCUCUGUUGCUUUUGGCCAUGAAGAGGAGAGCAGCAUAGCAGGGGGCCUGCGGUGGAGCAGAGCUGCUCAUCUCAUGGUGGAAGGAAGCACGGAGAGCAAGGCAGCCAGAGCAAGGGGCAGGGUGAGAGGUAGUCCCAGAGCCAACACCCCCACAACCCACUCCUUCAGCUGGGCGCCAUCUCCCACUUUCCACAGCCUCCAUAAUGACGUUGUUAGGAAUCCAUCCGGGGAUUAAACUGCUGAUGACGCUGGAAUCCUCAUGAUCCAAUCACCUUCCAGAAGCCCUGACUCUGCUCCCGUGAGCCUUUCCAGUACAUUUCAGAACCAACCCACAGGGGAUGGCUUUGGGGUGGAGAUUUAAGGACCUGUGUGUGCUCUCCCACCUCGCUCCCCCUGGUGUAAUAACACCGAAGCUGCAUGCGUGGCUGGGUCACCACAGGGAGGACAGUUAUUCUAUCAAUUUUGCAUGUGUGUGAAUAAAUGUUUGCACUAUUAUAACCAUGAAA